GUCCCCGUAGCUCAGGCGGAUAGAGCACCGGUUUCCUAAACCGGGUGUCGCAGGUUCGAGUCCUGCCGGGGACG
rnacentral:tRNA from 1 species